AGGGAAUCUUCCACAAUGGACGCAAGUCUGAUGGAGCAACGCCGCGUGAGUGAAGAAGGCUUUCGGGUCGUAAAACUCUGUUGUUGGAGAAGAAUGGUCGGCAGAGUAACUGUUGUCGGCGUGACGGUAUCCAACCAGAAAGCCACGGCUAACUACGUGCCAGCAGCCGCGGUAAUACGUAGGUGGCAAGCGUUAUCCGGAUUUAUUGGGCGUAAAGCGAGCGCAGGCGGUUUUUUAAGUCUGAUGUGAAAGCCCUCGGCUUAACCGAGGAAGCGCAUCGGAAACGGGGAAACUUGAGUGGAGAAGAGGACAGUGAAACUCAAUGUGUAGGGGGGAAAGGCGUAGAUAUAUGGAAGAACACCAGGGGCGAAGGCGGCGGUCUGGUCUGUAACAGACGCUGAGGCUCGAAGGAAGGGGUAGCAAACA
rnacentral:rRNA from 1 species